rnacentral:rRNA from 1 species
GUACGUGGUCGCUAGCUAUUGCCGUGUAAAGCCCCUUCGACGAGUCGAGUUGUUUGGGAAUGCAGCUCUAAAUGGGAGGUAAAUUUCUUCUAAAGCUAAAUAUUGGCCAGAGACCGAUAGCGCACAAGUAGAGUGAUCGAAAGAUGAAAAGCACUUUGGAAAGAGAGUCAAACAGCACGUGAAAUUGUUGAAAGGGAAGCGCUUGCAGCCAGACUUGCUUGCAGUUGCUCAUCCGGGCUUUUGCCCGGUGCACUCUUCUGCAGGCAGGCCAGCAUCAGUUUGGGCGGUGGGAUAAAGGUCUCUGUCACGUACCUUCCUUCGGGUUGGCCUUAUAGGGGAGACGCCAUACCACCAGCCUGGACUGAGGUCCGCGCAUCUGCUAGGAUGCUGGCGUAAUGGCUGUAAGCGGCCCGUCUUGAAACACGGACCAAGGAGUCUAACAUCUAUGCGAGUGUUUGGGUGUCAAGCCCGAGCGCGUAAUGAAAGUGAACGGAGGUGGGAACCCGCAAGGGUGCACCAUCGACCGAUCCUGAAGUUUACGGAAGGAUUUGAGUAAGAGC